rnacentral:rRNA from 1 species
GACGAACGCUGGCGGCGUGCCUAAUACAUGCAAGUCGAGCGAAGUUUUUCUGGUGCUUGCACCGGAAAAACUUAGCGGCGAACGGGUGAGUAACACGUAAAGAACCUGCCUCAUAGACUGGGACCACUAUUGGAAACGAUCGCUAAUACCGGAUAACAGCAUUACCUGCAUGGUUGAUGUUUAAAAGUUGGUUUUGCUAACACUAUGAGAUGGCUUUGCGGUGCAUUGGCUCGUUGGUGGGGUAAAGGCCUACCAAGGCGACGAGGCAUAGCCGACCUGAGAGGGUGAGCGGCCACACUGGGACUGAGACACGGCCCAGACUCCUACGGGAGGCAGCAGUAGGGAAUCUUCCGCAAUGGGCGAAAGCCUGACGGAGCAACGCCGCGUGAGUGAAGAAGGAUUUCGGUUCGUAAAGCUCGGUUGUUAGGGAAGAAUGAUUGUGUAGUAACGAUACACAGUAGAGACGGUACCUAACCAGAAAGCCACGGCUAACUACGUG